rnacentral:rRNA from 1 species
GACGAACGCUGGCGGCGUGCCUGACACAUGCAAGUCGGACGGUUCUUGUAUCUUCAAGCUUGCUUGCAGGUGCAAGGAUAGUGGCGGACGGGUGAGUAACGCGUGAACAUCUACCCAUUGGAGGGGGACAACCCGUCGAAAGGCGGGCUAAUACCGCGUAAGCCGCGAGGUGAGGGGCUGCCUAUUGGUGGCCGCCGAUGGAUGGGUUCGCGUCCUAUCAGCUGGUUGGUGGGGUAACGGCCUACCAAGGCGAAGACGGGUAGCCGGUCUGAGAGGAUGGCCGGCCACACUGGAACUGAGACACGGUCCAGACUCCUACGGGAGGCAGCAGUGGGGAAUCUUGCACAAUGGGCGAAAGCCUGAUGCAGCGACGCCGCGUGAGCGAAGAAGGCCUUCGGGUUGUAAAGCUCUGUCUGGAGGGACGAAGGAAGUGACGGUACCUCCGGAGGAAGCCACGGCUAACUACGUG